GUGCUCGCUUUGGCAGCACAUAUACUAAAAUUGGAACAAUAGAGAAGAUUAGCAUGGCCCCUAUGCAAGGAUGGCACGCAAAUUCGUGAAGCGUUCCAUAUUUAA